UGUCGUCAGGGAAACAACGUUGCUACGUCAUCACUGCGCGCGCUGUUUGCUGUUGUGGGAAGUCUCCUCGAGAUCACAGAGGCGAUUUUAUACGAAAUAAAAAGAUGCCUCUUCCUGCAGCGCUGCUCGCCCGCCUGGCAAAGAGAGGGAUCGUCAAACCUUCAGACCAAGAGGGAGAUGAGGAGAUUAUUGCUGAAGAUUACGACGACAACAACGUAGAUUAUGAAUCCACCAGAGUGGAGAAUCUGCCGACAAACUGGUACAAAGUGUUCGACCCUGCCUGGUACGUUUGUUAAUGAUUUCAACAAUUUCCUACU